CUAGUUUUCGUCAUUAUGCUGUAUCAUCAUAGCUGUAUCAUUAAGUACAUAUAUAUUAUUAAUUUUGCUCCUUUCCAUUAUACCAUGCUUUUUGUUCAAAUGCGCUCUUUCGACACACUCCCGACCUAAUUUUAUUUUUCUAUCGCUAACUAAGUUAAAUUUUAGUAAAAAAGAAAGAAAUAUGAUAGGAACUACGGCAAAAUUAGAGCCUACGGGGAGCCAGCCCGUACUACCGUUUCUGCGUCGGGCAGUGGCAGUACGGGCCCUUGGCGCAUCGUAUAUAGCUAUUCCACCCAGAAGGCGGUGCUCACACCCUAGUCGCAGUGAUCCUUCAUUUCCACGUCCUUUUUCUAGGCUUCCUGGAGGGG
rnacentral:misc_RNA from 1 species